rnacentral:rRNA from 1 species
AUGCACGCUGGCGGCGUGCCUCAUACAUGCAAGUCGAGCGAACAGACGAGGAGCUUGCUCCUCUGGCGUUAGCGGCGGACGGGUGAGUAACACGUGGAUAACCUACCUAUAAGACUGGGAUAACUUCGGGAAACCGGAGCUAAUACCGGAUAAUAUAUUGAACCGCAUGGUUCAAUAGUGAAAGACGGUUUUGCUGUCACUUAUAGAUGGAUCCGCGCCGCAUUAGCUAGUUGGUAAGGUAACGGCUUACCAAGGCAACGAUGCGUAGCCGACCUGAGAGGGUGAUCGGCCACACUGGAACUGAGACACGGUCCAGACUCCUACGGGAGGCAGCAGUAGGGAAUCUUCCGCAAUGGGCGAAAGCCUGACGGAGCAACGCCGCGUGAGUGAUGAAGGUCUUCGGAUCGUAAAACUCUGUUAUUAGGGAAGAACAAAUGUGUAAGUAACUAUGCACGUCUUGACGGUACCUAAUCAGAAAGCCACGGCUAACUACGUG